UGCUUUUUGACUUUAAAAAUAAAAAGUAAUCUCCUGCCCAGUGAAUUAAUUUUAACGGCCGCGGUAUCCUAACCGUGCAAAGGUAGCAUAAUCAUUUGCCUAUUAAUUGUAGGCUAGAAUGAAAGGGGUAACGAAAUAAGAACUAUCUUAACUAAGUUAAUUAAAAACUUAUAUUCAAGUGAAGAAGCUUAAAUAAAAUAACAGGACAAGAAGACCCUAUAGAGCUUUAGUAAAAAAUUAAUUAUUAGUUCUUAACUUAGGUUGGGGCGACCCAGGAUAAAUCAUCCUGUAAAAUUUAGAUAAAUAUAUCAAAUAUUAUGAACCUAUAAAGAUCACAAAAUAAGCUACCUUAGGGAUAACAGGCUAAUCUCACCUUAGAGCUCAUAUCCAAGGUGAGGAUUGGCACCUCGAUGUUGGCUUAGAGGAUCAAAUUGACGCAGCAGUCAAUAAAUGAAGGUUUGUUCAACCUAUAAUUCUC
rnacentral:rRNA from 1 species